ACAUAGCUGUAAUGUUAUGACAUAGCAAGUCAUAGCAGUAAUGUUAUGACAUAGCAAGUCAUAGCAGUAAUGUUAUGACAUAGCAGUAAUGUUAUGACAUAGCAAGUCAUAGCAGUAAUGUUAUGACAUAGCAAGACAUAGCUGUAAUGUUAUGACAUAGCAGUAAUGUUAUGACAUAGCAAGUCAUAGCAGUAAUGUUAUGACAUAGCAAGACAUAGCUGUAAUGUUAUGACAUAGCAGAAAUGUUAUGACAUAGCUGUAAUGUUAUGACAUAGCAAGUCAAAACAGUAAUGUUAU